rnacentral:sRNA from 1 species
GACCUAACCCUUUGAGAAACCCUCAGAGAUAUGGUCAAAAUCCCACCACAGGUGUAAAAACCUCCUAGUCAAGGAGUACCUGUGGUGGGUCCUAUCGGGAAACUGGUAGUGGGUAGCAAAGCUACC